GACGUAGGGGGCAAGCGUUGUUCGGAAUUAUUGGGCGUAAAGCGCUCGUAGGCGGGACAGGAAGUUCGUGUUGAAAGACCUCGGCUCAACUGAGGGACCGGCUCGAAUACUCUUGUUCUUGAGGCAAUCAGAGGGUGAUGGAAUUCCCGGUGUAGCGGUGAAAUGCGUAGAUAUCGGGAGGAAUACCUAUGGCGAAAGCAGGCUUCUGGUCCAUCACUGACGCUGAUCUGCGAAAGCUAGGGGAGCAAACAGG
rnacentral:rRNA from 1 species